GUACUACUUUUUAGAGCUCUGAAGUUACCACCCACAAUAAGUGACUUAUCGGGCUAUUCACUAUUGGUUUUAGUGCUAGACCUAACUAGCCAUAUUUUGGCUAAAUACAUUUUGAUCUCAGAUAUUACCAACCAACUACAAUGUAAAUUACUAGUCUAAUGACAAAGAGUUACCACAUUGAAAACUGAUCUCACUCAUGAAGUUCCAGUGAGAGUUCCAGUAAUAGAGUUAUCGUACUAUCCACAAGUAGUUAUCAGCUAGUAAACUGUGAGUUAUCGGGCUCUAUUCAUAAGUAGUCAUCAGUUUUUAACACAAAGUCUUAUCUAAACACCAUGGUAACUAAACAAGUGCUAUGGUGGUAACUAUAACCUAUAUAACUAGCAAACUACAUCGGUGCUACGAUGAUAAAUAUACCAUGAAUAGCUAGGUAACUCUCUUAAGUGCCAUCGUGGUAACUGUAACUCAAAAGUUGGGUAACUAUGUGAUGAGAUGUGGUAUAUAUGUACUUUGAAGAGCCAGAUAACUCCAAUAUGUUAUUGUGGUAACUUUAAGAUGGCAAGUAGGUAA